UACGGGGGGGCAAGCGUUGUUCGGAAUUACUGGGCGUAAAGGGCUCGUAGGUGGCCAACUAAGUCAGACGUGAAAUCCCUCGGCUUAACCGGGGAACUGCGUCUGAUACUGGAUGGCUAGAGAUUGGGAGAGGGAUGCGGAAUUCCAGGUGUAGCGGUGAAAUGCGUAGAUAUCAGGAGGAACACCGGUGGCGAAGGCGGCUUGCUGGGCCUUACCUGACGCUGAGGAGCGAAAGCGUGGGGAGCGAACAGG
rnacentral:rRNA from 1 species